CACAUAUGGAUGAAAGCGGGGGAUCGCAAGACCUCGCGCGAUUGGAGGGCAUCAGAUUAGCUAGUUGGCGGGGUAAAAGCCCACCAAGGCGAGAUUAGCUGGUCUGAGAGGACGACCAGCCACACUGGAACUGAGACAGGUGACUCCUACGGGGGGCAGCAGUGGGGAAUUUUGGACAAUGGGCCAAUGAUCCAGCAAUGCCGCGUGCAGGAUGAAGGCCUUCGGGUUGUAACUUUUGUACGGAACGAAACGGUCUCUCCUAAUACGAGGGGCUAAGACACCGUAAGAAUAAGCACCGGCUAACUACGUGCCAGCAGCCGCGUAAGUAGGGUGCAAGCGUUAAUCGGAAUUACUGGGCGUAAAGCGUGGCAGUGAUGUAAAGACAGAUGUGAAAUCCCCGG
rnacentral:rRNA from 1 species